GCAGUCGCCGCCUGUCCCGAGACCCGGGAGUCUGUGCCGGGGUCCCCAGCUCCUAAGCCUGGGUCAGCGGCAGCGCUCCUGGACGAAGGCCUCAGGCUGGGCACUGGAGGAGGCGUGGGGGCGGGGGCGGGGAGACACGGUCCAGCGUCCCAAUCCAGCCGCGUCCACGGGAGAAGCAAGGGCAGUCCACGUUCCCUUGUCCCGUGCGACUUUUGUUUAAAAAUGAGGAAAGCUUUUUAUCAGCUUCUCGUGUUUCUGCUACUUAGUCUGGCAGGCUCUCACGAACGAAACUUUGUAAUUAAUGGUCGUUAAUUACACUCCAUCCCACAAACACUGAACUUAAUUACAGAUUUCCGGAAAGCCAGCAUAGCCUCUUGCAAGUGAGGUGUGUAAAGCUUAACUUAGUAAUCAAAGAAAGGAUUGGCAGGGCAAAGAAUUGGCAGUGAUCGUUUUGAAUCAAGUCAGAAUAAUCGAAGCCUUAUUCCCAGUUUGUUAGCUGCCCUUGUAUGAUUUAGAAAAACUGAUUUGUUGAUUUAGGAUGUUUGGAUAGACAUAAUUUCAGAGCUGGAAAAGGACUGCACACCGGUGAAAUAAGGCCCCUUGUGCUUGUUUGCCACUGCUGUGUUCCAUCAAGCCUUGACCAAACUGGACUGAGAGAGGGCCUUGAGGACAGGAGCCUUAACCUUUUUCUUAGUAUUCCUAUUUUCUAGCACCUUGCCAAGCAGAUAGUAAUGGAUCAAUAAAAUGUCGAAUCAGUGAAAUAGCAGACGAAAUCAGCAAAGUGCCCAGAGAAGUGACUCUUACGUAUUUCAAGUGUUUCAUGUGCUACAGAAUCUGUUGAACAAGAUAAAGGUUAAGUGCAUUGUGUGGACUUUAACAACUUACAAGGGAAGCCAGCUGCCAUGUUGUGAGGACACACAAGCUGCCUUAUGGAGAAACCUGCAUGGUCAGGUGAUAACUCCUGUGGGAAGAAUGUGGCACAGCACUGUGGUCGAUGAAUGUUGUUAUUACUUAAGAUGGAGGAAGGGCAGUUCCACAAAGAUAGAGAUGUAACCAGGCAUACGAAUACAACAUUUGGCUACUGCAGACUCGUAAGUAACAUGUCCUGUCCUCAAGGAGUUUUCCACAUAUAACUCUUGGUACUUAUGUAAGAGGAAAAUAAUUCCCACAUGUGCCCCGACUUUUUUGUUUCAAUAUUAAUCAGUUAUCCUGAUUAUGAAACUUGAAAAAUAUUACCCUAGCCCUUCUUACUGUUAAUUAAAUCUGUUUUUGUUAGUUUUAAACCAAGUAUGAAAAUUAUGUAAUCAUUGGCAUAAUAUUUUUGUGGUUAAAAUACAAUGUUGGCUUAAAACUUUUUGUAUUAUAAAUUAUACAUUUAUCUUCAGAUAUUGUGGGAACUAUGUCAGCUAACAAGCCAUUUCCUCAGUUAACCCUACUUCUGUGGUUGGGAUGAUUUGAAAACUGUAAACCUUGCUACACCUUGGUUGGUACUGUAUUUGGAGACAAUGUAUUUUAGCCUUGACAACAAAACUUACCAUUAUUUUUAGAGAAAUUUCAUUUGCUAGAAAGCAUCAUUUGUAUUAUUUUAUACUCAUGCUGCCUGGUGUAUGGAGUGAAAUUAAAUGCCUCAUGUUUCCAUUACAUAUUUUUACUAAAUGUGUCUCACAUGCAAUAGAGUGAAAUACAGGUUUUAUUGCAUUAAGCUGCCAAGAUCUCUGUGUUAAUUUGAUACUAUAAUACCGCCUAGUCAAUCCUGAGGAAUACGGAUACAUUAAAUUACAUGUAGGCAUAAUUUAUAAACAAAAAGGAUUCUCACGGUAAUUAUGAAAUGUUAUAUAUUUUCUCUUACUACAACAUAUAUAAUUUCUAUUCUAGACAAAAACAUACAUAUAUUUGUGUGAUACCUACAAAUAACAGUUGAUUUCACCUUUUUCCCAAGAAAAAGGGAAAACAAUCCUUAUUUAAUGAGUAUCAGAGUUCAAAAUAUUUCUUUGGUGAGUUCAGGCCCAGAAGAGUCAGAAGGGAUCUACUAUGCCAACUCUCGCAGCGGAACCCUUCAAAUGGCACACCAACUGAAUUUACAUAUAUAAGACUAAGAAAAAGCAGGACCCAGACGCUGCCAAAGGACCACCGUCAAGUACACCUGAAAACUACAGCUUUCAACACUUCACACCACCUUUGUUUUAUGAUACACCUAUUAUGCUGUAGCUAUGAUGAGAGCAUACAAAUAAAUAAAAGACUCAGUCAUUUC